rnacentral:sRNA from 1 species
GGAAGAAGCUCAUCUGAACACUUCACAGUUUAUUUCACUUCCCCUCUCCGACGUCUCAUUUGAAGCCGCUGCAUCUCAAAAUCGAGCUACACCGAUUGAUUUUGGUACACGAGAAGUGAAAGAAGAUGACGAUGUUCUCAGUAAGUUGGAGCUAAUCGUUCAUUUUUAAUGUUCCAUUUAAGGUGACACUGGUCGUCGUCGAAGCGUUAACUUAAUAACGCCUUCUCCUAUUCCAGAAGAAACCGAGGAUAACUUAACAGAAACGCCUAUUCCUGUAGUUGAACACAUUCCAAGAAGUGCAAUUUUUGAACCUUUCAAUCACGAAAAUUCUCCUUUGUUCUCCGUGAAGGCACGUAAGGUAUGCACGUUGUAAUUUAAAACGUCGGCGUGUAGAUUUAAUCGAUAAAAAACGAAUCAUUUCUCGUUUUCAAUCUACUCGUCGUAAUGAAAUUCGAACAAAUAAUGGAGUUCUUCAAGAGAAAAUUUCAGAAAGCUCAUGAAUACCGCUCCAACGAUUCAACUCUCAGUCCUUCAUCAUCUUCCAACAAUGACGACAGUAUCCGGAUUGACGUAAGCAUCAAAAUGAUUAAAUCAUUUUUUUUAGUUUAAAAUUUACAGAGUAUCCGUGUCCGUUCAUCAAAAUCUGCAACGAAUAAUCAACUGAAAGGACGGCUUACACCAAUACUAGGAGGGUCCCUUCGCCCGAUUCCAAAAAAGUAAAACUCUUUCAAUAAGUUCUGAUAAUUUAAUUUCAUUUUUAGAAGGAACCGAGUCGCUUUCAACGGAAAUUCUACAUUUGUCGCACCGGAGAGACUAUGCUUGGAAGUUGAUAAAAUACAUCAAGAUCGUU